rnacentral:lncRNA from 1 species
UGAAUACGAAAAGCUUGUUUCAAGACUUCUUAGUUGGAAUUUGGAAAGGAUGGGAAAUAAAGCGAAGAGGAUGUCAAUGGAAUAUUGAGUCUCAUAUAAUUAACAGAUGCAAAUUGAACCAAAGGGGUUUCUGAGGAGAAGACAAGUUAAGAAGAAAAUGGCUCUUCAAUUUUCUAUCUUAUGUGGAGGCAACAUUUCUGCAUCAGAUUCAGCCUGUGGGAAAAGGAAUGAGGCUUCUUCUAUGAUCCAUUCAGGUUAGUCCUUCCUGAAGUAGCAAAGCAUGUGUCAUUUUAAAACAUGAUUGUAAUUCCUCUUUCAGUGCCACCGACUUUGUCAUGUGGAAAAUUUUUGGCAGGUUUUGGCAAUAAGGUGUCUAUCAGACAAUUUUCAUGGGAUUAGGGUUUUACAUUUGUUAUGAAUCUCGGGAGAGAAUUAGGAGAAGAAAAAUAAAUAAUAAAAGUAAAUUCAUGUUUUCAAUUUAAUUUUAUUUAAAAACCUACUGUACAGAUGUAAUACUAAUCCAAAAGCAUAUGUCCCCAGUUUCAUAAACACAUUAUUUUUAGAGUCCCUCUCAAAAUUAUAAGGAAAGGAAAAUUCAGUCAGUAAUAGCAAAUGGUUGGCUGGCCAAAUUGUUUUCAGGAAGACUGGCUCUCAAAUUGAAUAGACAAAUGUUGUGUUUUAAGACUGUUGAUUGUUAAUAAUAGCUAAUGCCUAAAUGGCAUUUCC